rnacentral:pre_miRNA from 1 species
ACCACCAUUGCUGGGUCACAUGGUAAGAGUGUGUUUCGUUUUGUAAGAAACCACCAAGCUGUUUUCUAAAGUGGCUGCACCAUUUUGCAUUCCCACCAGCAAU